GUGGGGUUAGAAGCAGCAAAAACUGGAAGCUUUCUGAGAAUCCUUUCAAAUAAAUUAGUGAUGGGACCUGAAGAUCAAGAGAGAUUUUUGAAAGAUAAAUAUUGCAAGGUGUUCUGAGAAAUACAUCUGGUUAUGCUACUUCUUGCUAUUCCUUACAUAUGAUAUUUCAUCUCUUCACUCAAGACAUUUUCACUGACUAUCACCUAUGCCUGGAAUUCUCUCUCUCCUGGCCUCUACUUCUUGGCAUCUGUGACUUCUUUUGGAUCUCAGCUAAUGGCUCACCUUCUACAGGAAGCCUUUCCUGAUCUCCCUCAACACCAGUGCCUUUCCUCUGUUAAUUCUCUCCAAUUUAUCUUUGUAUAGCUUGUUUACAUGUUGCCCCUUCCUUUAGAUGAUGAGUUCUCUGAGAGCAGAGAUUGUCUUUGCCUUUCUUAGUAUCAUCAGUGCCUGGCACUUAACAAUAAUUUAACAAAUGUUUGUACACUGGCUGAGCCAUUUGCAGAGAGAUUUGGACUACUUGCCUUUCUUUGUAGACAUACCACUACCCUACCCUAUACCUGUAAUGGAUUCUCCCAUGGUAACCUCCUUUUACAACUUGUGUGACUUUUGACAAGUCAUUGAACUUCUCUGCACUCCAGUUUCUUUGUCUAGAAAAGGAGGGAUUGGACCAGAUUACCUCUAAGGCCCCUUCUAGCUCUAGGUCUGGAAUUCUGUGAUAUUAAUGAUAGUAGUUAAUAUUUAUGUAGUACUUUAAGAUUUGCCAAGUGCUGUAGGUAUGCCAUCACAUUUGAUCUUCACGACAGUCUUGGGAAGUAGAUGUGAUUAUUAACCCUAUUUUACAGGUGAAGCAGAAUUAGAACUCUGAUUUCCUGACUCCAGCUCUCACACAAUAUCCAAGGUCACACAACUAGUGGCCAAAUUGGCCUAAAAUCCAAGACUUCUGGUUCUCCAUUCAGUGUUGCUUCUAUCCCACUAUACCACACUACCCCUCUCUCCUUGUCUAGUAGGCACUCUGUAUUGAAACAGAGUCCUUUCCUAAAAGACUGCCAGAUCCAAAGAAUAAGACCUUUUAUUUAUUAUGUUCAUUCCAAUGUCUUAAUGGGAAUGACGGUUACAUUUAUAAUAAAUCAAACUGAAGGCAUUAUUCAUUAGAAUGAAUGUUUCAUCACAAUGGAGUUUAUAUAUCCCACCCAGAAAUUAAAAUUCAAAAGGAAAAACCCUCCAAGCCAUUCGAUUAGUGUGUUAUUAAAACACACACAGAAGUUAGAUGGAGUUGUAGGUGUUCAUUUACAUUCUCAGAGCAGCAUAAAGGCAGCCUACUUGUAUAUAGACAUCAUAGUAAGUGUUUUUAUUACAUCAGUGUAAAACUUAAUGGGCGAACCCACCACAUUCACGCAUUCAUGACUAGUAAAGAGUAGGAGGUUCCAUGUCAAAUCCCGUCCAAAUGAUUCUUGAACUGAGUUCAAAUGUUCAUCUCCUUGUCUUCAAUUAGAGAGCUGACUGUGAAGGUGGCUUGGGGAGGAGUCCUCGGCAACUGGGGAAGAUAUCCAUCAACAAGAGAAGAGCUCUGUUCUAGAAGACAUGGACCAGGAAUCAUUUGGACAGUGCAGAGCUGAGAUCCAUUCUUCUCUGAACUCUGGUCCCUAUGUGCAAGGAUCUCUGGAGACAUUUUGGUAAACUGCGUGUUGAAAGGACACCAUAAUACAUUUUGUCCAGACGGGUGGUGGUCUUGCCCUGUGUGAUGAAGGAAAUAAUGGAAGAAUUUU